rnacentral:rRNA from 1 species
UCCUACGGGAGGCAGCAGUGGGGAAUAUUGCACAAUGGGCGCAAGCCUGAUGCAGCCAUGCCGCGUGUAUGAAGAAGGCCUUCGGGUUGUAAAGUACUUUCAGCGGGGAGGAAGGGAGUGAAGUUAAUACCUUUGCUCAUUGACGAACUUACAGA